AUCUGGGCGGCGGAAUUCAGGAUGGCUGGGCGGGUUUCGCGCUUGUCCGGCCGUCUGAUAUUUCCGUCGCCGUGUCGGACGUCGCGACCUGUUCGUCGUCGGUCCUUGCUCGGAGGAAUUGUGAUCGAGUUCGCAGCGCGAUGCGUUCCGGCGUGUCGCGCGGCGAAGACGCGACUCUCUGGCCGACGGCAGACAGUAAGCAACGGUGUCCGGCGCCGUGUCUCGUACGCGGCGCCGGUGCCGGUCUGCGACGAUUUCUUCGGGCCUCUUUCCGACCCGUCUUGAAACACGGACCAAGGAGUCUAACAUGCGCGCGAGUCGCGGGGUUUCGAGUGCGCUACGGCGCGCUCGUCACUUGCGAAACCCGUACGUGGAAGGCGUAAUGAAAGUGAAUAGGGAAGAUGGCGUUCCGAGUCCACGUACCGUGAUCGAGUGUCGCGGCCGGACGUCCGCACUCCCGGGGCGUCUCAAUGGUUCGUCGCGGACGCGGACGAUCGUCUCUCGGGGCGAUCGUCGGUCUGCGCCGGACCGA
rnacentral:rRNA from 1 species